UACGUAGGGUGCGAGCGUUUAAUCGGAAUUACUGGGCGUAAAGCGUGCGCAGGCGGUUUUGUAAGCCAGAUGUGAAAUCCCCGGGCUCAACCUGGGAAUGGCAUUUGGGACUGCAAGGCUGGAGUGCGGCAGAGGAGACUGGAAUUCCUGGUGUAGCAGUGAAAUGCGCAGAUAUCAGGAGGAACACCGGUGGCGAAGGCGGGUCUCUGGGCCGAUACUGACGCUGAGGAGCGAAAGCGUGGGGAGCGAACAGG
rnacentral:rRNA from 1 species